CUUGCAUCACAAAGGUCAAUUCAAUAGAGAGCACACAGUUCUGAAGAGCUGAGUCCCACCCAGAGUGAAGGUAUGAGCCAUCCCAGAAGACUUCCCAGAGGAGGGGAUCUGCCAGACCCAAGGAUCAAAGCUGUGUCUCGUGGAUCUCCGGCAUUGGCAGUUGCCCAACCAGGGACUGAACCCACAGCCUUGGCAAUGAAAGCCUAACCCCAGACUGCCAGAAAAUUGCUUUACAGAAUCUAAAAUGAAGCCAGGGCACCAUUGAGAAAGUAGAACUUACACCUGUUCACUCUUGAAUGCAAAAUAAACUUUCAACCCAAUGAUCCUGA
ensembl:lncRNA